UGGUGGAAGGAAAGGGGAAGGGAAGGUGAAAGGGGAAGGGAAUCGCUUUUACGUCUCUCUCUCUCUCUCUCUCUCUCUCAAUUCUCUGCUAGCAGAGGAGAGAGAAAGAGAGUGAAGAACACGAUUCUGCCUCUUCUUUUCUUUUCUAUCUUAAUCCGUUCGAGCACUGCGAUUAUUGCAUCCACUGGAAAUUUCAAAAGAGCUACGAUCUUGUCGUGCUAUUGGAUCGUCGUCUAUUUUUGAGUGAUUGGUACAGCGCUUUGAGAUGUUGGUUGCACGGAGUUUUGAUUUGUGGCAGAAGGAUGCUUUCUUUUCCGCCGCCGAGGAGGUGCAAGAAUCAGCCGACAUAUUGGAAUCCACAUAUAGGACAUGGUUAAGAGAGAGAAGAGCAAGGGUAAUGAUAGAUAAUCUGGAUGAAUUCACCAGGGAGUUACGAACUGCUUUGGGAACAGCCAAAUGGCAGUUGGAAGAGUUUGAGAAGGCCGUGCGGUUGAGCUAUGGACAUCAUGGUGAUGAUACUAAGCUGCAAAGACAUAGACAAUUCAUUGAUGCCAUUGAAAACCAGAUAUUCUCUGUUGAGGCAUCAUUACGUGAAUAUUUUGUUGAGGAGGGCAAGCAACCACUUAAAUGGGUAAAUCUUGAUGAGGAAGAAUGUGAUGAUUUAGCUGCAUUUCUGUCUGGGACAACCCCUACUAAUCGAGGUCAAAAAAAUGAAAAUUUGGAACCUGUGCCUUCUUUUGAAAAAUCUAUUCAUGAGACUCAUAGUGAAAGGCAAGAAGCAAGCAGUAACCAAAGCAGCCUAGACACUGCCAGUAAAGUUGAAGAAAUUCCAAAUGCACAGUUUGUCGUGGAACUUGAGGAUAAUGCAAUUUCACUUGCAAGGGAUGAUGUUGUAAACCAUACAGAUAGGACGAUCAAUGCUAGGAGAGUGUGGAGUUCACCAAACUUUAAUACUUUGACCAUUGUUAUUCCUGAUGAGGAUGAACAGAGAAACCCAAUGCCAACUGUUGAGGCCACACCUAAAGAAAAAGGAUCCAGAACCAUCCUUUGGAGGCAAUUAGGCCGGGAGUUUCUUCCAGCAAAGGUUGCUGGUCAUGUACGCAAUCAGCUCUUUGCUAGGUUUUUGGUUCGCAGACAAUUGCAGAGUUCGAGGAACAUGCCGCGUGGUUGCUCAGUUCAACUUACACUUGCUCUGAUGUUAAGUAUUUUCUUUUUGGUGCCUUUUGUACUUUAUUCAACUUGACAGUCCUGUAUGAUACAUCUCCAAUUUAGCAGAUCAUAAAUGUUAUGCAAACAGAAAGAGUAUACAAAACUAGAAAGAAAUGCUGCUAGCGAGAAUUGAACGUGAUGCGGAAGCCUUUUUCAUGCAUGCUCAUGUUUUCUUUCAGAAAGAAACUGCGUGGUUGUUGUUACUGUCUGAUAACCUUCCCAUGCAGUUCAGUUACAACACAGAUUGAAAUCUCAAAGCUCUGGAGAAAUGAAGGUGUUUCCAGAGGAUUGAAGCAGACCAAUUAUAUUUUUGUUGCUAUCAAGAAGUAAACAGGCAACAAGAAUUAGGAUGUAACUAUUAGAUAUUUCGUAGCGUCACACUGUGUAUGCAUCUGUAGUCUCUAAGACAUAAGCUGCAGAAGAAUCUCUAGUAGCAUUGCGUCUGUAUUGGGUCCAUCAAGGGAUUAUUUGAGGAAUCGAAGAUUUACAAUUUCAUAUUAAAACGGUCUCUUUAAAUAUAA